rnacentral:lncRNA from 1 species
GAAAAAUUAACUUUGACCACAGCUUGAUACGUCAGUCAAGGAGCAGCAGAAAGGCAGUAUUGUGUGUGGUCAUGGAGAGCAUCCGAACCACACGACAGUGCUCACUGUCUGUGCAUGCUGGAAUUCGAGGGGAAGCAAUGCGGUUUCACUUUAUGGAUGAACAGAAUCCCAAGGGAAGGGACAAAGCUAUUGUUUUCCCAGCACAUACAACCAUAGCUUUCAGUGUUUUUGAACUCUUCAUAUACCUGGAUGGUGCCUUUG